CGUAAGGCGAAGCUUUGAACUUAAGCCCCAGUAAACGGCGGCCGUAACUAUAACGGUCCUAAGGUAGCGAAAUUCCUUGUCGGGUAAGUUCCGACCCGCACGAAAGGCGUAAUGAUUUGGGCACUGUCUCAACAAUGCACCCGGUGAAAUUGAAAUACCAGUGAAGAUGCUGGUUACCUGCGCCAGGACGGAAAGACCCCAUGGAGCUUUACUCCAGCUUGAUACUGGGAUUCGAUAUUGCAUGUACAGGAUAGGUGGGAGACUGAGAACUGAUGACGCCAGUUGUCAGGGAGUCACUGUUGGGAUACCACCCUUGUAGUAUUGGAUUUCUAACCAGCAGCCGUGAACCGGCUGGGGGACAAUGUCAGGUGGGGAGUUUGACUGGGGCGGUCGCCUCCGAAAGGGUAUCGGAGGCGCUCAAAGGUUCCCUCAGAAUGGUUGGAAACCAUUCGAAGAGUGCAAAGGCAGAAGGGAGCUUGACUGCGACACCGACGGGUGGAGCAGGUACGAAAGUAGGACUUAGUGAUCCGGUGGUAUAAAGUGGGAUUGCCAUCGCUCAACGGAUAAAAGCUACCCUGGGGAUAACAGGCUUAUCACUCCCAAGAGUUCACAUCGACGGAGUGGUUUGGCACCUCGAUGUCGGCUCAUCGCAUCCUGGGGCUGAAGUAGGUCCCAAGGGUUGGGCUGUUCGCCCAUUAAAGCGGUACGCGAGCUGGGUUCAGAACGUCGUGAGACAGUUCGGUCCCUAUCCGGCGUGGGCGUAGGAUAUUUGAGAGGAGCUGCCCUUAGUACGAGAGGACCGGGGUGGACUGGCCGCUGGUGGAUCUGUUGUAUUACCAAAUGCAUAGCAGAGUAGCCAAGCCGGGACGGGAUAAACGCUGAAGGCAUCUAAGCGUGAAGCCCCCCUCAAGAUGAGAUAUCCCAUAACGUCAAGUUAGUAAGACCCCUUGAAGACGACGAGGUAGAUAGGGCAGAGGUGGAAGUGCGGUAACGCAUGGAGCUGACUGUUACUAAUAGGUCGAGGGCAUAACCAAG
rnacentral:rRNA from 1 species